GUUGUGAAGGGUUUGCCCGGAUCUUCGGAGAACAGUGGAAUCUUCGUUUGACCUCUGACUUGGUUGGAAGUUAAUACCGAAAGGGACAAAAUCCCAGCACACUGAAGGUCCAUGUGGUUCUGACAGGCAGAAUGACCCUUUGAAGGAACCUGGCCUGUGCAGCCUCACCCACCCUGGACCUCAGAAACCAGCACUCCGUCCUGGAAGCUGCUCCAGGCUCCAUCUAGUUCCACCUCCACCCCCUCGAGUUUCCCCUUGCCUGCUCAUAUACCUUCCUCUCUGCCCUCCGCUUAGCCCAACAUCCCAGGUCCUGAUUCUCUUCCUAAUCAUGAAGAAGCCAACCUAGCUUUGUAUCUGCCAUCCCAGCUAAUCACUGAUAGACAAGAGGGAAAGAGGGCCAGGAAAAAAGACCAUUACCUGUUUUUAUAUCUUAACAAUAGGGAAAUGGAUACUUUGAAGUGGGGUACUACUGUAACAUUCCUUUACUAAUACAGUCAUUCCCCUACACGUGAACGAGUUCUGUUCUGAGAGCAAAUUCAUAAGCCAAAUUUGUUUAUAAGUCCAACAAAGUUAACCUAGGUACCCAACCAACACAAUUGGCUUAUAGCACUGUACUGUAGUAGGUUUAUAGGAGAGAAGGUGGGAGAUGGUAGAGCUGAAGGAUCAUCAACAAUAGGAGAUGGAAGGGAAGCUGCAAUUUCAUUCAUUCCUGACCUUGAGGGAAGGCGCACAUUUGAAUCUUUGAGAUUUCACAACUUAAAGGUUUGUUUGAAAGGGACUUAUUGAACCGAAGUUUACAGUUUAACUUCGGUUAAACUGAAGUUUACCUUGAAGUGGCAUGCUGCCAUGAUGUAAGCCUAAAACAUGUGGCUCUGUUUUGGUUGUUUGUCUUUUGAAGUAUCACAGGGCCCUUUGUCAACAUGAGUCUUUCCAGUCUCCAGUAUCAGCUUUCUUGCUGCCCACUGCCCAACUAUUAAUAAUUAGUGUUGAGUGACAAGUGGCAAGAAAAAUGCUUUUAGAAGCUAUAGCAACGAAGACUAUGUUAUGCAGUAGAAAAAAAUACUUGGAUGCAAAGAAAUAAAUCACUCAUGAACAUUUUUGUUUAGGAAAGA
rnacentral:lncRNA from 1 species